rnacentral:lncRNA from 1 species
GUAACUGGCCCCAAAUAGUUGGGACAUUAUGGUCUUGUUGUAGUAGUUGUUGUUGUAUUAUGGAAGUUAAGAAUGACAUGCAAGUGUGUCCUUGUCAUCAUAUGCCCCACCAACAUGUCAGAUCCAUGGAACAGAUUAUUGUUCGAGCAUAAAGCCUAUGCCAACUAGUGCAGGACGCUUGCUGAUUCAUUCUAAUCAACAUGGAACUGUCACCUUUCCAGUACAAAAAUACAACAUCAACAAAAGACUAAAAGUUUAUUUUGAUAACAUGUUUCCUUAAAUUUACUCAGUCCAAAUAUGAAAUACUUGUAUUACAAUGAUUCCAGAUUAGUAUCAUGACCUAAGACCAAUUCUUGUAAACUUAGUCAUAAGGUUGGAGCACUCAGAAAUUGCUUUUUGUUAGAAAAGUUAUAUGCUAUCCACAACAUCCUUCACAUGUCAUGUGAGACUCAUUGGCGGUAUCAAAAUCUACUCUAGUAAAAUCCCAGAGGUCCUCAUUAGUGUUGACAUGUAUAGCCUAAACCUACUUCUUCCUAGCAGGACAUGAUUCCCUAUAUCAUCCCACUGAGUCCUUUCCAUCUGAACUUUAGCCUAAAAAAGAACUAAAAUUUUGAACUUGGUCAUAGUUUGUGAGCUUCUAGGUCUAUAACAUGAAAAUUGUAGUGAUUUAUAAUUUUAUAUACCAUCUCAAAUCAUAGCCAGCAUUCGAUGUAUGAUUGUUUGGAGAUAUCAUAAUAUCACAAUAUCCCCUACUCAAAUUCUGUACAUCGUUGUUAGCAUGACAGUGCCAUAGUUAUCAGAAGUGGAGAAAAAAAGCAGAUGUGACCACGAAAAGAAGUAAACACUUGAUCAGUCUGAUUCUACUUUUAAAUGAGAUUUUGUUGCAAUGGCUUAAAUCUGCCGAACCAAUUGAUUUUUUCUUAAACUGAGAGAAACAAAUGUGUCAGAUGAUUGCAACCAGUUCACCAAGCCCAACUUUACAAAAUUUUUCUUGACACACUCAAUAAUCCAACUGUUCAUCUCUAAAUUGUGUUUUUAUGGAUGCCCUUUCCAAUACCAUUACCAUUAAGGGAGAGUAAGACGAGGGAUUUUCACACACUGUUGACACCACCCACUUGGACUGUCCGUCAUGGAUACCCUGCUUAGGCCCCACCUUUGGUAAGACCCUGCAAGCCCACAGUCACUGAAAGAGAGAUAAGAAAAGGAAAAAUAAGAAGAAAAGAGAAGAAAAAGAAGAAAGAAGAGGAGCAAAAGAAAAUAAAAAGUGAAUUAAAUGAUAGAUGAACAGUAGGAAGGAAGAAAGUAGAGGGAAAAUAGAAAAAGAAAAAGGAAAAAGGAAGAAAACAAGAAAACACGAAAAAUAGUAUAAUCAUUAUAUACUAUAUUUUCUUGUAUAUGAGAGUCCAGCAGAACCUGAGGCCUCAUUUUUUUAGACAAUGAUCACUUCAGCUCCAAAAAUUACAGACAUUAUAGUAACAAGUAUAGUAUGUGAUAUCUUAGUUUCAUCAUAUGAAUAGCUCUUUCCUACUGGAUCAACUAUUCUCCAGAUCCAUAAUCCUAUGUGUUAUUAACAUAUUUAACAUGAUAUAAAUUAAAAACCACAAGUCUUACCGAAGAAAGAGUGCCCCGAAGGUACUGUUCAUGAGUUAUUCCUACACUAUCCAACUAGAGAAAAAAAAAAGGCUCCCCAAAUAACUUGAUGUGCUUAUUCGGAUUUAGGACCCAUAUAUGACAUAAAAUCAUGCAUUGAUUUGAUGUUAGAUCCAUACUGCCAUAGUGACAUCUAGUCUUCAUGAUAGUGAUAUCAGAUGCUAUGAUCAGAGGCAAAACUGUGAGGUUCUUACCUUUAAAGAAUUUGUUCGGUGGUAACGGCAGGGUAAAUAAUGACUUGAUAAACUAUCUGCAACAUUGUUCACAUCCCAUAUGGGUCUAACAGUACAUUGUGCUUGUUGAAAAUGAUUUAACAUUUUUUUCAACCUCUAUUUGUAGUAAUCAACAAUACAUGGGGUGAAAAAGUUACAGAGUUCAUAAGGAAAAAAAAAAUCCAAAAGAAAGAAGCAACAUGGGACAAGAAGAGAAGUAAUAGAUCAACCACCUGAUCAUAAUCAAUAUAUCCAGUGCUCUCAUCCAGCCUAUAUGGCAUUGUUUCAAAGAAUAUAGAUACUGCAGAGAUCUUCUUUGUAUCAGUCUGCAUAAAUAAAACAGACAGUAUAAGUAGAAGCAGAUCCUGAAAAAUAUUAUCAUACAGAAAAAUUAGUUCAUACUGUUUGACAAAGUGAUGGAAUGGUCAGAUGGAAUUUAGCACCUAAGAAUUAUGACCUAUACUCAGAGCUUCGAUUUUUUUUCGAAAAGGAAGCCCUGCAAUAGCUGUGGUAAGUUGUACCUAGGUAUUCCACACUGCUAGAAGCUUUAACAAUCCAUGGCAUGAACCUAAUGAAUGUUAGUGAAACUUCUAUGAUAUAUAAAGAAACUAUUUUGUCCAGUUUUCAACUUAACUGAACUUCCAAAUCAAAUCAGUAACCCCUCAAAAUUUUCAACAGUGUGUUACCAAUCUAGUAUAUGUAGAAUAUCUUAAGACCAUGAGCCAAGUCUUGCCUGCAUUUUAAAUGCAGCUUAAGUUAUCAGGAGAUUUACCGGGUUGCAACAUCCAUGAAAUAGUUUCAGCAUACACAGGCUGCACCAAAUCCAGGUCAUUCUUGACACCAGACUUCCGCAUAAAAACAUAGAUAACAAAGGAUAUUUGUUGAACUAUUCUUGUUAAUACAAUUUAAUUACAAGAAAAAGUAACGCAUAAAGGAAGUCUGAAAUCAUGUCAUUCUUAGCUUUAUACAAAUCCAUAUCUAACGACCCAGUAAGUAAAGGGGAAAAGGGUAUAACUAAACAAUUACCCUCAUGGAAAUAUAUGAAGAAAAAAGAAAUAAAAAGUACAUCUGCGAAAAAUAACCAUAAGUCAACAACAGGCAGUAUACUAUGCUUUAAUAUUGGUAGAUGAUAGCUAGUACAGUAUUCUACAAUCAAAUGUCAGAUUAAAAAAAAGUGCAAGUAUUAAUGCUACAUGGGGUAUCAAGUUCAUUGUUGGAGAAGUACAUCGAUCUUCCAGUGUAUAUAGUAAAGUUUGGCAUCAUAGAAGACCAAGUAUGAAUGGGAUAUGUUGCUAAUACAUAUCCUACAUGGAUUCGAUAAGCACAUGGUAUUCCAUGUAAUACUGUCUUCUAUCCUGGAACAGAAUCAAUAGUAAAAAUGAUAAGAAAAAUACAUAUAUAUGCAGAUAGACUGCCCAAAAACAGAGGUUGGCAACUGACCCGAUAACAAAUUAAAUGCAAAUCCAUAUGAACUUAUGCAAUGGAAUAAUCAAAUUCCAAAAUAGCAGGUAGAUUCAAAGGAGAGGCAGACUUCGAACUGGGGGAAAAAUAUAUUAGCUAACCUGGUAACCAUGAGAAAGAUGUCCACCAUGGGGCAGAUCAAGAGCCAUGAUUCUCUCAUGUGGCUUUAAAAGUGCAGUAUAUACUUGAAAGUUAGAAGGUGACCCAGACAAUGACUGUACAUUCACUGCAAAACGCACAGGCAGUAUUAAGCCAUUGAAGGAAGAGGCUAAUUAAUUAAAUGUUACCAGAAAAUGCUCUCAGAUAAAUAUGAUAGUCAUGCAUCUUAAGUAUUAUAAUGUGAAAGUCCUGACGUGGCCAUGCUUGAGGAUGACUUUGUCCUCAGCUAUAAUCAAGACCAAUCAUCCAAUGGGCAUGAUGAACACCCAGACUUCUUUGUUCUUCUUGUUACUCUUGCAGGCCGGGAUAAACAAACCAAAGGCUCUGGGACUAAGCACAAUGUCAGUGCAUGUGAAUCAUGCGUGUGGAGACCAAAACAAUCACAGGAUAUUAAACACUUCUUUAUCAGAAUUACUGUGCACAAUGUACAAUGACAAGUUAUAGGAGUUUAUAACUAAACACCAUGAUGCCAAUUGCUACACAUAAAUAUUUAUUGGUAGUUCUGUGCUUUGGCACAAGGCUAGUCAACUUGACUUACUAAAAGAUAGUAAAGAUCCAAAAACUAAGGAAGCCUUAAUCUAAGCGAAGCAUGGAACCAUCACAUGGCUAUAAGCAUUGAACUGUUAGAUAAAGGUAAAUUAGGAAAUAAAAUUUAAUUUUGCAUUACAAGAAUAGUUCGGCUUUUUCAUAGCUAGUGCUUAAUUGACAUUGAAAUGCUAGCAGAAUUGCACAAAGGGAACAAGCAAAAACAGAUUCAUCUUAUAGUGAAGAAGAAAUGACACUUUGUAAAGGAACAGAAUAUAUUCAUGCAAGUCAUGAAUCAUAUGAUGAAAUAAUGAUGAUAGCUGCCAUGAAAAAUGCUAGAUAUGGACCUAUAAUUAAUGAUGAUGAUGAUCCUUAAUGUAGAAUUUAUUAAAUAAUGUAAGAAUCAAGGAUAAUGCACAUGAUACCUCCCCAUUUCGAAGGAUCCAGACCAAAAGCUUCCAAGGCACGCUUUUGACACAACGAUUCAGCCAUGUCAAUGUAUCUGGAAACGAAGCAUGAAAUCAUCAGACAUGAAUGCACACGCUCAAAUAGAUGUGGCAUUUUGUUUUCCAAUAUUUUUUAUGUAUUAACAAAGACACAAAAACUGCUAACAGUGAGAUAGCAUUCUCGAGAAGAAGAGCAAGCAGGUCUUACUCGUUGCCACCAUAGUAUCUUGCACCAGGAUAACCCUCGCUGUAUUUGUUAAUCAUGACAGAGCCUACUGCUUGCAUGACCGACACGGAUGUGAAAUUCUCCGAUGGUAUAAGUUCAAGUCCCUUCCAUCACAUUCCAAAUCAUUUGCCAUAAGAUUCACAGCUAAAUCGGGCAUAGAAAUCACAGAAAACAAGAUACAUAAAUUCACAAAUUACUAAGAAUCAUUCUUAUACGGCAGUGUCAUGUGAGCCAACGCGCCACCGAUUGGCAAGACAAAUUUUGCAUCUAAAUGCGCGACCUUUCCGAUUGCGUCAGAAGCUGAGAGAAAGAGAAAACAGAGGGAGGAACCAACGGCCAAGAGGGUACCUUCCACUGCCUCGCCUUCUCGAGCUCGAUGAUUUCCGCGAUCUCCGGAUCGACGACCUCCAGCGGAGCAUUGAGCUGCUUCGUCCACUGAAAUCCACAAAAACCAGCAUCAAGAAACGCUCAAAAGAUUCUCGUAUCCACCAACCCCCAUCGAACCAGCGCACAAAGAACGCACCGUGACGCAAGAUCUCUCCUUCCCGUAGGCGGCUUCGCUCGGCAACGAAGACUGCAUAACACACGGAGAUCAAGGAAGAGUAGGAGAAUCAACAAUGGUGAUCCAAAGAUCCGAUCUUCAUCGGUAAUAAAAAAGCCAAAAGGACGAGCUUUAGUUGGGGAAUCUCGGAUCGGCGGGGAAGUGCGCUUACCAUGGAGCAGAGGGAGCCGCGCGCGAAAGGGUGACGCCUGACAGCGGCGGAGGUGGAGGAGUUGAGCCUGCGUAGCGCCGUCGCCAUUGCCAUCUCGGCCUCGGGGGGUGCACCCGAAUCGGAGAUCUCGGGUGGAGAGAGAGAGAGAGAGAGGGUUGGGGGUUUUGGUUGGUGGAACAGCAGUUUUUAUACGACCAACUAAAGUGGUCGAUGAUGACGACACCAAAAUGGGAAGUAGGUGAUGACAGAGAUUGAUUGAUCCAACGGUGGAUCUGACUCUGACUGAACUUGCAGUGGAUCUGCUCCUAAGCAAUGAACAUAAAAGCCACUUGGCUAACUACAAUCACAAUUUCUUUCCUUUUUUAUUUUUUUCUUAAUUUUUAUUAUUAUCAAUUUUCCAAUAAACUUUUAGGAAAAUCACCAUACAUUAUGUAAUUCUAAAUUCAAAUUGAACUUAAGAAAAUCAUUUUAAAUGAGAUUAUGUAAUCUUUGGACUUUUGAGUAUAUGAGAUUAUGUAACAUUCUAAAUCUUUUCUUAUUUAAAAUCAUUUAUAAGAGUUCGAUAAAUAUGUUAUUAUUAAUUUAUAAGUAUUUAUUUUGAAUUAUUGCUUUGAGUCUAUCAUGUGAGCAUAUCGCAUCAAUCACAUUGUUUCAUUUUUUGUAUGAACAUAAACAUAAGACAUUGUAUCGUAUGAAGCUUUGUUCUAAUAAAAGAAAUUGAUUAGAGUAUUUAUUAUAAAUAUCAAAAGUUAAAGCCUUUUAUGUUUCCUCUAAAGUCGGAUUUAAUUGAUACGUGAAAUUAUCUAACAUUAGUUUUGGUACGUCAAAUCAAGAGAGUGCCCAACAUAUAUUAAACUUACACGUAAAAUUCAACAAAAUAGCAUUAGAUAUAUGAUUGAGUAUCAAAUCAAAUAAAAAUGGACACACUAAGAUAAACAAUUCUUCAAAUUAUAAUAUGAAUAAAUGUUGCGAAAGUACAGUAUACGUAAUAGAUUAAAAAUAAUAAAUGUUAAAUAUAAUAUAUUAAAAAAUUCGAUAUUAUCUUUGUUGUGAGAAUGAUAGUGAAGUGAUUUGACUAAUCUCUUUGAAUGAAUCAAUUAUAUAAAAAAUUAAAGAGGAAGAAUUAUAUUGAUAUUUGAAUGAAUCAAUUAUAGUUGUAUAUGAAUAUAUUUAUAUAGUCUAAAAAAAUCUCAAAAGUCAUCCUGAAAGGAUAUUAUCCCAAUGGUAUAUAGUAUGACUACUAAUUAUAUGUUGCAUAAAUUUUUUAGCUUUUAAAAAUAUUUUCAACAUGAGUAAACUAGUGAGUUUUGUGUUGGACUGCAACACUAGGAAAGAGACAAAGUUCAAAUAUGUUCCUUGGCAUUCACAGACACUCUAUCCAUCUCCUACCCAUCUCAAAUGACCCUCCCAAAUAUAUNNNNNNNNNNNNNNNNNNNNNNNNNNNNNNNNNNNNNNNNNNNNNNNNNNNNNNNNNNNNNNNNNNNNNNNNNNNNNNNNNNNNNNNNNNNNNNNNNNNNNNNNNNNNNNNNNNNNNNNNNNNNNNNNNNNNNNNNNNNNNNNNNNNNNNNNNNNNNNNNNNNNNNNNNNNNNNNNNNNNNNNNNNNNNNNNNNNNNNNNNNNNNNNNNNNNNNNNNNNNNNNNNNNNNNNNNNNNNNNNNNNNNNNNNNNNNNNNNNNNNNNNNNNNNNNNNNNNNNNNNNNNNNNNNNNNNNNNNNNNNNNNNNNNNNNNNNNNNNNNNNNNNNNNNNNNNNNNNNNNNNNNNNNNNNNNNNNNNNNNNNNNNNNNNNNNNNNNNNNNNNNNNNNNNNNNNNNNNNNNNNNNNNNNNNNNNNNNNNNNNNNNNNNNNNNNNNNNNNNNNNNNNNNNNNNNNNNNNNNNNNNNNNNNNNNNNNNNNNNNNNNNNNNNNNNNNNNNNNNNNNNNNNNNNNNNNNNNNNNNNNNNNNNNNNNNNNNNNNNNNNNNNNNNNNNNNNNNNNNNNNNNNNNNNNNNNNAUAUAUAUAUAUAUAUAUAUAUAUAUCUCAUCCUCUAACAUUUAAAAUACUAUAAUGCGAGGCAUUAAAGUCUCAAACCCAUUCAUGACUACCCAAUAAGCUCUACUGUUUAUGAAAAGACUGCAUUAAGAAUUGUUCUAGUGUGAUGAUAAAGCUUGCAUCUCAUCCUUCACCCACAAGAAUCAUCAGGUGCUCGGUUCAAGAAUCACUGGGAUGCAGGCAAAGUAACAUUCAUAAUUAAGGAUUGGUUGAUGUAUAAAUACAUCUCUCAAGAUCUUACUCUAUGGUUGGGAAGAAACACACUUGAAAAUUUUCUACUUGAUCUGGAAAAUCUGAAAACAAAACCUUAAAUUUAUGUGAGAUCAAAUAAAAAACACUGGAUUUGCGAUUUUUGUUCAACAUUACCUUUGUUUCUUUUCUUCUCAAAUCACACUUCUCAUAGUAGGUUUUUUAUUGCUAAGGUAAAUGACACCUAUGAACUGCAUGUCACAAGAAAUUUAAGACAAUAAGCAUUGUAAAUUCACUCACACCUAUAUCUGAAUGAUUGUCUGACAUUAGUUUCACUGUGUACAGAUAAUUCAAAUCUUCAUCCCAAAAUUUAAAUCUCAGGUUAACCAAAAUCUACUGCAAGAGAGCUGCUUAAUCAUCCUCCCUCACUGGAAUCUAUGUGAUAAGUGUAACGUUAUUAAUAAUAAUUUUCAUGUACCGGUUUGCCUUUACUCGAUUUCCUACCUGUCUCAGUAUUUACUGAGUGGUUCUCGAAUGAGCAGUGCCUCGUGCGGGUUUCUUUUUGUGUGGGCGGUUUGGCGCAUUCUCUCACCCCAAUCGUCCACGUGGGCCACCUUAUCUUAUGAUGAUCAUCAGAUGUAGAUCGGACGGCUGAUGCUGGCCGACAGCGAACCCUUGCUGUUUUGGGUUUCACAGCACCCGUCGCGAGGGUGAAAACACCGCCCGCACAGCUGUCCCCAUGUUCCGACGGGUGGGGGCCCAUCGAACGGCUCGGAUCGACAGCUGCUCGCUUUCCGCCGUCCGAUCCUCCUACCCCCCACGUUCUGGCCAGCUCACGCCCUGAAACGGACACGGAACGCCAACACAUACCUACGUUCUCCCGGUACCUCGCUGGUCGUCGCCGGGCCCGUCUCUCGCUCAGUCAUCGGACUGGUGCGCAGUUAGGUACACGACGAAAAGGUAGCGAAGAACUGACUCGCAUAAAACCUUCUGCUACUCGAAGUGCCACGUCAGCAGAAAAGAACAAUUCGCCGCCGGUCCACCGUACGUUAUCCUGCUCCAGAGAAUGUGGAUAGACGACUUCACCCUCACCGCAGAGUCUCCGUCGACGUACUUUUCUUUACGCAAGGCCGGGCCAAAGACAAAGGGUAUAUUAGUCAUGAAGUAGUGGCAUUCUGGUAAAAUGGAUCCUCACCUCGGUUUAGUUCGGGUCGUCCUUGUCCUCAGGUUGUCUCGUUACACAGGCGGCGGAGACGAGGGCGGAUCGGAGACGAGCGGCGAUGCAGACUAGGUGUUAGGAGGCGCAGGUACCACGAUUUGGACGCAGGAAUCUGUCGUCCUCUUCGGUAGGUAGGGCCUUGGGCGCUCGGUCUGGAGCCCAGCGUUUCGAUCUCUUCGGGAGGCUUUGGAUCAUGGCCGCCCUCCCUCGUUUCGCGGAUCGCCUGUGGGGUCUCACUCCGUUGUUUUGAACUCAGACUUCUAGCUCUUUAGGUAUACUUUUCUGUUCUUGAUCUAUUUGUGUUUUUGUUUGUUCCCGUUUUGGGAGUUUCCGAUGUGGGAUUUGGAUGAUGAGUCUUGAACUCGAUGCUGCAAAUGUGGAUCUCUAGUUGUAAUGAGAAGCCUUCAUAGAUCUUUGAGAAUGUACGUGUUUGCCUUUGUCUUCACUGUCAUCUUUGGUCUAAUUCAGUUGGAUUAGCUUGAAACACUGGAUGAUCUAUUGUUUACAAUCACCAGCAAUUGAAGUAGGUUAAAUGACGUCAAUUUUAGGCGUGCUUUUUCAGAUUUGUAGAGUUAAUCUGGUAGAGCCAAAUUUGAGGGGAAAAAUGACCUUUUUUAAGUGAUUAUUGUAGACUUCAGCAUCUAGGUGGUCGUGGAUUUCUACUAUAAGAUGGAAUCUCAUAAUGGAGUUGAACUGGAGUUGGAAAAAGAAACUCUGGAGAAAGAUUCAGUGGCCAAUGGAUGUGGGCCAAAUAUGGAGAAUGAAGUUGGCGGCGGCGGCACUGAUGCCGUGCAAACCGAAGAUGGUUCUCUGGAUAAACCAGAAAGGGAAGUUGUUGACUUUCCCGGAGAGGAUAAUGAAAGUUCUUUAGCUGCUACGGAAAUCAAAGCUUCCAAUCUCCCAAAGGUAUGGGUUUGAUUUGCCUUUUGCAUGCUGUUUCUCUAUACUCUAGGGCAUAGUGGACUAUGAUUUAACACGAUCCUUAUGUGUCUAGACUUCGGGAUCUUAUGGAGGCAACCGAUGGAAGAAAGCACAGAAAGAUCAAGGUGGUCAGAAUGGUCAUUCAAAUGAAUUUCGGAAAAAAAAACCUGUUCUUUCACCGAAUCUCUCAUUUCCUUCCAAAGGUAAUGUUGGCACCAAUCUGAGGAAGAGCACCACAGUUACGUGGCUGCCUAAAGAUGCAUAAUCAAUUAUAAAAUGGUUUGAUCAAUUUUCUAAAUAAAUUUAUUUAUCCUUUGAUGAGGCCAUUCUCUUUACAGGCACUCUUCCUGCUAAGCAAUCUUCCUUGGCUGCUGCAACUAGCACUCGUAAAUCAUUAGUAAGUCUCUUGUGGCUUAGCUAAUUGUAUGGUAUUGUUUGCUAAACAUUUAAGUAUUUGUUUGAUACCAGUCCACAAAGCCUGGCUCAGUGGAUGCAGCUGCUAAAGAUACUUCUGAAGAAAGUGGAAUGUAAGCUUUGUAUAUUUUUCAAGUUCUGUUGUUUCUGUUUUCCUUAGCCAUCUCUCAUUUAUGUGUAUGUUUAAUUCCUUCACAAAUUCCUCAUAGUACACGGGCAAUGAUGGUUAUGCAUUUUUUUUAAAUAUUCAACAUAAUGAGAAUAUAUCAAUAAAGCAUUUUAAAGUGACAUGCAUCUGCUCUGUGUUGUAAUCAGAUAAAUACCAGACAAUGAUGACAUAUUGUUUCCAUUUUGUUGCAUAUUAUACCAUUGGGCCAUCUUAUGAUGGGUUGUUUCUUGCACAAUCAGACUGUUUUCCCUGUUGAGCAGUUUUCAUUUGGGCUGCAAGAACUGGUACAUUGUCAUAUCAUAAUAUGUCAAGUGGUAAAUAGUUACAUGACCCCAAGCCUUGUGUUUCGGGUUAAAAAUGAUUAUGAAUCCCAUUCCACUAUGUUGUGCAGCUUUGACUUUCUCAUUAUGUGUUGUAUGUUCGUGGCAUGUCAGUGGUUCCACUCCAGGUGCAAGAAGCAGUAUCUCUGGUUUUAAUUUCAGCUUGGAUGAGCGUGCUGAGAAACGUAAGGAGGUUAGUUAAUAAUUUGUCUUCUGUCUUCUCCUAAAAUCUCCCUUCAUCUUUUCCUAACUUGGAAAAUAUAUACAAUAUUUUCUCAGUUUUUUAUGAAGCUUGAGGAGAAGAAUCAUGCAAAGGAAGUAGAAAAAACUAAUUUGCAAGUAAAAUCUAAGGUAACAUCUUUAUGAAAUUCAAAAUUUUCUUUCUUCCAAGAAAUUAUUUCUGCAGAUCUUUCUCCGUUGAGCUAAGUUCUGUAUCAAGUUAUAUAAUACAGGAAAGUCAAGAGGCUGAGAUCCGAAAGCUGAGGAAGAGCUUGACCUUUAAGGCAACACCAAUGCCAAGCUUUUAUCAAGAACCUGGUCCUCCAAAAGUUGAACUGAAGAAGGUAGCAGUUGUUCUAUCUACUAUUUAUGUCUGAAGUGCAACCAUAGUUUCAUGAUCUUGUGAAAGUAGGAAUGUCAUAAUCUUUUAUGGAUACUUGUGCAAAAAUCUACAACAAGAACUAGGCUAAUUUAACUACUCAACCCUCGAUGACUCAGUCAUUUAGGAGUUCAUGGAGAUAUAUACUAGCUUCAGAAUUUAAGUGGCAUUCUUAUUUUUGCUUAAGUAAUUGAAAUUUCAAGCAGUGUCUCCCUCCCGCUACUAGCUUCUCUUUUUCUUCUAAAAAAAGAAAAAGGCAUUGCACCCUUGUUAUUUAAGGUUGGGGUAAAUUUUGAGUUCCAGUAUAUCAGUUUUCUUCUGUAAGUAUUUGCUUCCCUACAGCUUAUUCAUGGAAAUGUACUCAAAACCUCAAAAAAGGCAAUGCACCCAAAACUCAAGAAGGCACGUCAUUCAUUUGAAAAAAGUAUUUUUGUACAAGCAUCUUGUAACUGUUGAUACAUUUGUUGAAGAAAUACUCAUGAGGAUCUUAUACCAUUUGAAUAUUGAACUGAGAUGAAUAUCUUUAUUUCCCUAAGAAACAAAUUUGCAGUUUUAACUUAGUUAAAGUUAUCAAUGACUAAAGCUCACUUGAAAGUCAGAUAAUAUGUAGGCAUUGUAGCAUCAUACCACAUUAUUGGCAUAUUGAGAAAGUACAGAGAGCAUUAUAGCAGUAAAUUGUAGAUGAGAUACUGAGCAUUAUGCACAUAGCUAGGCAUGUCACAUAGCUGAGAUGCUUUAUCUCACACUUUGGCUUUUGAUUCUAUUUGAUGGUUUAGUUAAGUAAAUUGAGAUAUGAAGUUCCUUGACAAUAUCACUGAUAACCAUAGAAGCUGUGCUAACUUAUUCUGAGAAGCUUUGAAAUGUAGCUCAAGGAGAUGGAAUUACAUAAAGAACAAUUUCAGUAUUUCACAUAUUUCUUGCAAGUUGCAAUUCAAUAUUUAUUUGUUAGGAUUUAUGUUACUUUUGGUUUUACUGGCGAACUGUUAAGCUUGGGCUAAAAUAUAUGUUUAAUGUUUAUUAGUUAUUACACUAGUUAAUGCAUACAAAGUUAGUAAUUCUUACUACAUACGCAGACAAAUUUUUUUUGGCAUGGUCAGCUGAAUUUGUUAGGCACUCACCAAAUCACUGCUGACAAAUUUCUAAUCCUACUAUGUCGGGAUAUGAACAUUGAUUGUCAAGUAGAAAUUACUAUGCCAAACAUCCCAACCAUGUUGUAUUACUCACUACAGAAUUUGUGAUGAGGAACAUAAAUUUGGACUACAGGAAGUAUUUUUUUUUCUCCUUCACUUCUUGCACUAGAGUGGCUAAUGUGAUGGUCACAAAUUGUCUGACUCAUCUGAUUGAGGUGGUCUAAAAACAGGCACAUGCAGUUCUAGAGGUCAGACGUCUUUUUCAAAAAAAUUGGUUUACUCAAGAAUCUUUUCACUGCAACUCAAUCUAAAUUAACUGUCAUGUUUAUAUGUAAUUAAAUACUUAUUAAACAAAAGAUAAUCUGUGGCACAUUUCAGGAUUGACACUUCCUUUGAAAAUUGUUGCACUCUUUAAUGUCUCACUGCUUCAUACUCUGAGUCACUAGGCUAAUUUGCCAUGGACACGAAGGUACUGUCGUAUUUUCUUUGUUUUGUAUCUCCAAUUCGAAGAUUUAGCCUAAAGUAUUUAUAAAUUUUCAUGACAUUCAAUUUGAUUGGGUGGUUGGAAUUUUGAACGUAAUCCAGUGGGUACUAUUUCAAUAUAUUUAUUAGUCAUUUGAUGUAACUGAUCCUUUUGUGCAACUUCAGUAGAUCAGUAGCAAAUGCAGAAUAUGAUGGAAAUUCCUUUUCUUUUAUGAUAUUUAUACAAUUUCUUUUCCCUUGGUAUUCUGUUUUUCCACAUCAUUAUGAUGAUAACCAUGUUUAAAUAAAGUUUACCUUCACUAGAAAAGAAACUGUACAACCGAUCUGAUGAUCUUGUAGCAGAUACCACCAACACGUGCUAAGUCGCCAAAGCUUGGUCGACGCAAGGUACCUUCCGCCGUAACAGAUAAUCCUUCAGAAGGUAGCAUCUCAUGUGAGAGCCCACGCCCUGCUCCCUCCUCUAGCAAGCCAAAUGAAGCUGUGACAUCCAUUAAAGGGAGCUCAACUUCAAAGAACCCUACAAAGAAAUCACUCUCAAAGCUUCCGUCGCAGGAAUCGAAAACUUCAACACCUGACGUGAAAUCAGCUGCCACAAAACGGAAAGUGUCAAACAUGAAGGCCAAACUUGAGAAAGCUAAAGUGGAAGCGAGUGAUAACAAACUGAUUGAAGUUGCCCCUGAAGCUAGCACAGAAGUGGAACCAGUCCUUGAUAACAGAGUCGGGGAAGAUAACCCUGUUCUUAACCCUUCCGACCCUGUAAUUGCUUCUCUGGAAGAACCAGCGCAGGGAUAAAAAGGGUUGGGCCUCCUAUCCUAUGUAUCCCCUUUGUGCCAAUUUACGAGUAGCAGUGUGUUUGCUGCUUGGUGAGUAUGAUGCUGUUUCAUGGUGCUCAUUCCAUUGUUUCCCAAGGAGACAUUGGUCUAUUGGACUUUAUUUUGGUGAUGUAUAUUAUUCAUUGUCUUUGCCGUCAGAUUAAUUUUGCAUUGUAAAAAGGCCUGCGUGUCAUGGAUUUGGACUCAUGAUCUGAAUGAUAAGGCCAUUAUCUGAUGAAAAAGGAGCUAGUCUCUUUGUCCAUGCAGGAGUUCCCACUAUACUGCAGGUCAUCUGACUGGGUUACGUACCAUUGACAUAACUACAAGGCACCGAUCGACAUGCUAUUAUUCUCUUUGUUUCACAAAGGACUUGCUGACUUGAACUUGGCAAGACUGGAACACCAAGGACAUGUUUCCAUGUAUUGCUCAUCCAAGUCCCCUUUUUUAUUCAUCUUCUCUCAGGUCUUCUUCCAGGGAUCAAAGAGAACUUAAAUUGUUAUAGCAAAUGGCUGUUAUAGCAAACUUAAAUUAUCCAUUUUACAUCAUGAUUACGUUUGAAUGUAAUAAACACAUGAUUACGUUUGAAUGUAAUAAACAUUCAUUGUGAUCAUCAAAAAUUGCUACACGUACAAGCUUAAGGCUAUGCCAAAAGAGAAGUUCGACUUUGAAUUGUAGGGCUUUACCCUGGGUUAGAGGGAGCCCUUCCAGAAAUUCUCGAUGGCGCAGGGAUAAACCCCGGCCAAAGAGGGGGUUUGGAAAUAGUUUUCAACCAGCAAUUGUCGCGCCUCGGUUAUAACCUCACUAGCUGCGACAUUGCCCCAAGCGCAAAGAUGCCUUACUCAUUUCACCAUCCCCUACUCUUAUGGAGGGGCUCACUCGCUUUCCCUCCUCCGUCAACGAUGUGGGACUAAACUCUCUCUGUUCUUCUUUCUGCCGGUUCACGCAUCGAGCUCACUGUUCAUGUUUAUUUCUUGUUGCAAUUCCACAAACGCCAGUUGUGCAUCUAUGAAUACUGUCCAGUGGCCGUCGAGACUCUGCAGUCGUCGUCGAAACAGGAAGUUCCAUCGAUUUACGCUUCAAUUCGACCACCGACCAAGUUGUGCAAGGGCCAAUCUGCAGUCGUCGCCGAAGCAGCAGAUCGCCUCGCACUACGCCGACGUCUCCCUAGCGGACUCCGCGAACCGCGCUCUCCUAUUCUCUGGCUCCAGUUGGACCCGGCGGACUACGUGGGAUGAAACAUCCGCCGCUGCCUUCGUCGAACGGGGAGGUUGGGCCGUUCUCCCUCGGAUCGCCAUUGGCGGUCUGACGGCAGCAACCAAACGCUAUAAUGACGACGGUAAGACGUCAUAUAUUUUAGCUUCCCCUCUCCACUUCUCUGACAACCAAAGCUGUGCAGGCUCUCCGGGAGGGUGCGCGCGAAGAGAAGCAUCAGAGGAGAACGGAGGCCAUCAUUUCUCUCCGGCGCCAGAGUCCGGUCGGCGAGGCGGUAGCGACCUCGCGGCUCCGGCAACCAGAAGUAACGUUUCCCUUCUCUUCUUUCAUUCAAUCACAGAGAAAUAGAAAUUGAAACGCCACAAUUAGCGAAAGGGAAGAAGACAGGGGAUCAGUGCGGAUCUCGCCAGGCGAACUAGUUGACCGAGUCACUGAGCCGGACUCGCCUGCCGAAACGUCAGGGUGAGGCGACCGAGUCCGACUCUCCUCCCUUGGCGACUCGGACCCGUGCGUGACUCGCGUCAUAGGUAGUUAACUGAAAAGGAUUAAAUAAUAAUAAUAAUAAUAAUAAUUUAUUAUUAUUAUUUCUGCAAAAGGAUUAAUAUAAAUUGAUAUGUUUUCUGAUUCUUUAAGCUACAACACGAUAGAUUGUUGCUAGAUUGACUUCUAAUUAUCCACUGCACGUAGCUUAAUAUUUCCAUCUUUGCAAGAUUUUCAUAUCCUUUCUUGCAGCAUGAUGACUACAAACUAUCAGAGAUGGACAUAGUAACAGGCUCCACAUACAUCUUUCUCAUGCAGCUUGGCAGGUAGUAUCUAACCUUCUCUAGUUUGCCUUGAUUAGUGGUCGAGAUUUCGCUUGAGAUCAAUUUGGCAGCUUCAUUCUUCUUAGGAAAACAUAUGCCAUGAUUCGGUAGGUAAGCACCAUGACUGUCAGAGCUGUGAUCUCCUUAACACCAUUGUCGAGGUGGGUGACAUUUAGAGAGGAUGGUACAUGGUCAUACUGCACCUUGAGUAGGAGCCUGUAAGUGUGGUAGUUGAAAGAUACAUAGCGCAGCCAUGAAAUGAAGACAGGAACUCUCUGCAACAUUGACAGGAGCAACAUAUUAGACAUUCUGUCCAGUAUACCUGGCUGUGCAUCAAUGACAUGGACAACAUAUGCAAAAACAAACUUGAUUUACUUGUUUUUUUUUAUGAUUGAUAAGUAUUUUGAUUCCUAAACCUAAAUCCUCAGUGAACCAUGUUACUUGACAAAAAAAGGAACUUAAAGUACGAAAAAAAUAUUGCACAUUAAGAUUUGAUUGUUUUAUAAAUAUCAUAUAUAUCUUAAGAUCUUAGUGGAGGAGGUGCGAUUGAAAAACAUAUUUUAUGCACCUAGGAUUUUCUGAGAGGGUGCACAAGUAGGGGUUCUGGAUUUGAGUUUGAUUUAACUCAAGAGAAAGUUUUGGUCUUUGUAUUUUAUUUUCCUCACAUUAUUUUUUGAGAGAGUACACGGAUUUUGAGCUUGGCUUAGAUUUAGCAUAAGAGAAAGUUUUAAUCUUUGUAUUUUAUUGUACUCACAUAAUGAACAAUUUUGGUUUUUAUCACCAUGGAUCUAGGCAUGAAGUGUCUCGCCAUGUAAAUCUUACAUCAAUUAAUUUUCUAAGAUUGUAUUUUACUGUUAAUUCUCUGGAUUGUUCUUUUGGAAUCAAAAUCUUUUAAUCCCAGCUUUUUGUAACUAGGUCACUAAGUAUCAAGUAGAUUAGCAAACAAUCUAUUGCUACAAUUCAAGAAUUUGCUCCUCUUGGUGUGGUGAACAAAAAUGACAAAUUUGUUUGCUUGAAGGAGGCUAGAAAAAGAAAAAAGUCUAUUUCUACUAGUUUCAAUGGAUUAGUCGUGUUAUAGAAACAUGAACAUCUACUGUAUCAUACAUUCACACUAGGAGAACGAAUCCACUACACGAGACUCCUGCCAAUGCAGGGGUUUGGAAGGGUCGACAUAUAUAGUCUUUCCUCCAUAUUUAGAGACUAAUCUCUUAGGUCGUAAGUGAGCAACCACACUGAUAAAAUUUAUGUAUCCGAUACUCUGUUAUUUUACAUUGUAUUCAGUAAAUUUUAAUUGGAAUCAGCUUAUAGUUUUAUAUAUUAUGCUCGGGGUUCUUAGCUCUAUAAAAUUUCCAGUGAAAUGCAAUUAUUUUCUAGCCUGUUAGCUUGAGAUUAUAGUAUGCAACAAGCAAAUUAAUUGUUGGUGAGAUAUUGUAUUUCAAUUUCUGUACAAGUCUUGCUUAUUCUGAUUGAUUUUUCCAAUGUCUGAAAGAACCUUGCUUUGAGCAUUUCUGCAGUUGCAUAGCCUAAUACCUACAAUCUCACUGUUCUGAUUAAUAUUUCAAAUGCUCGAAAGAAACUUGCUUUUAGUAUUUGUCAAUUUACAUAGCUUUAUACCAAUUGAUAUUACUAUGCAAUGAUAAGAGAAAGGAUGUUUCCUAAUGUGUAUCAAAGAAGAAAACUCUUCAUCACUAAUUAUAAUUAGGUAUACCUGAUUAUAUCACCUAUUGAUCUUACUUUUCAUCCUUUAAGAAUUUGUUAAAUUACAUACUUAAUACCAGUUGAUCUCACUGUGAUGAUGACAGAAAGGAUGUUUUCUAAUAUGUACUAAAGAAGGAAACCUUUCACUCGAUAAAAAUUGAACUAUGGUGCUUACCCGCACAAAGAAUCCACCAGCCAACAUAAAUGUCAUCACUGUCACUGAACCUAGAGUGGUUGCCUUCUUGAUGUCCAUCAGUGAAGCACCAAUUACCAACCCUAGACCCUGCACAUAUGCUGUUUAUUUAAGCAAAAGAAUGCAGAUAUGCUGUGUCAAGUGGUAUGCAAAUUCUUAUCCUUGCACAUACCUGAGCAGCAAUGAUACUGAGAAACACAACAAGCAUAGUGAGAAAGAAAUGCUCGAUGCUUCGUCUUAAUCCUGCCAUGAAGUAGACAAUCAACAGAAAUAUUAUUGGCAGGAUGAGGUCUAGUGGCAAAUCACUUGUUGUCCUGGCCAUGAAAUAUGCACUUAGCUUGUACAUGUCUACUGCUCUUUCCUUGGUCAACAUAGCUCUUUCUUGUGGAAAUGUGAAGAUUGCUGUGAAAACAGGGAAGAAGCCCCAGAAAACUGAAAUAAAGAACAGCAAUCCAGCCUGCAGUAUUCCAUUUCAGAUGGUAAACUGUUAUUUUCACUUAAAAAUAUAUAGCAAACUUACAUAAAGUUUAGAGUUUCCAUGUUGUAUGUAACUCUCAAUUGGUUGUUACUAGUUUACUUGUAGUAAUUAAAUACUCAUUUAAUCUCAGCAUCGGAGGCUUUGACCAAGGAACUGUGGUACUAAUGUGCUGCUUGCUCUAUUUUGAUGCAAAUGAUUUUAUUGUUCGCUUAAAGUUUUUUUGAUGAUAAUGUUAUAAUGAAUUUUUCUCAACAUUUUUUUUCAGACAUACAUGAAUAAUGAUCCAUGUAUCUACUUGGAGCAUAAUUAAGUGAAUCUAAGAGACAAAAUUAUUAAAAUAGAGAUUUCCUCCUGUGCAAGAAAUUUUAGGAUUAGAAGAUUUGCACUACUUUUAUAGUUCCAAGAAACUUGAGGAGUCAUUAAGAUGGUAAUCAAAUCUGUGAAAGCUCAACAAAUCAGAAACAUCUACAAACUGUUAAAUCACAGUUUGUAUUGAGAUUUCAACUGGAAGAUUAAUGGUAAAUUUUGUGAUUCUGUUAGCCAAAUCACAUAUGCAUCUAUACGCUGCUAUGUGCAGUCCUACUCAUAUAACUCAACAUAAAUUAGGAAUAUCAGUUGUAGUUUCAAAGAUAUAAGAAAGUUGGGAGUCAAUAAGAUAACAAUCAAAGAAACAGUGAUUGGAAGACUGGUGGUAGAAGUCUUGGUUCUGUUAGUCAAAUCAAAGAAACAGUGAUUAUUGUAUGUAUACAGAUCAAAGAAAAUUGGGUCUCAUUAAGAUAGCAAUUGAUCUAUGAAAGCUCAAAAAGGCAGAUAAAAAAUCAAAUAUCGAUUGGAAAAUUGGUGGCAAAAGCUGUAGCUCCAUUACCCAAAUCACAGAUGAACAUGUAGUAGUGUUCAGUGAUAUCUGCAUUCCUAUAUGUGUGACAUAACAUACAUGAAGGUUCUAUCUAUAGGAUACAAACACUUGACGAAACCUUUCUUACCUGAUCUUCAAGACCUCUUGUUGUGGUACUACUUGAUUUCCACCAGAGCAGACCAAGGAUCACUGCAAUUGCAAGAACUUGUGUAAUUCUCAUCCAACUCAGAUAAUCAUGUCUUCUUUCGUUUAGUCCUCUCCAGAACAGAAUGGAGUAUUGUUGCCACCAGCUUGCUCCCCAAUCUCUUUUUUGUGAUGACAGCGUGGCUUUCAGAUCUUCACUAAUAGGAAGCGGCAUCAAAAUCUUUCUCAUUUGCUUGUCAGCAACUCGAUCCUCAUAGGCCUCCACCAGGUACUAUUUCAUUAUUUGUUGCAGCAGUCAGUAAUUUGUAGGGUUUAAUUCGCCAAAAGACUAAUUAGAAAAGGCAAAAUCAUACUGCCUCCAUCAGCUAAUCUUUCUUUACUUUUUCUUCCUGAGGUUUUUUUACUUCCAAUGCUGGACAAUGUACCAGAAUUUUGUAUGGUUGGAUCACUAAUCGUUAGAAUCUUCAGCAUAAUUAUGAAAAAGAGUAUGAAUUUGGAUGUCAGCAAAAAGCUUGUUUUCUCCAAUUACUAAUACAGAGUGGUAAUGGUUCUUGGAACUGAAUACAUUUUAGGGUAAAAGAAGAAGUUUUUACCUCAUGCACAUCUUCUGGAGAUGGUUUGCCAUUUCUUGUAUUGCUUUCCGAUUCUUUUGACUGAACUUUAGACUCCAAUACUGAUGGUACCGUGACAUCAUUUAUGUUGCCACUUGCAAGAUCAAGCAGGAAUUCUGCUGGAUUCAUAGCAAUGAGAGGAGAACAUCCAAUAGAUGAGAAGUAUUUUAUAGCUUUCGAUGCUUUCCCAAAGUACAGCAAACUGCCCUUUCCAAGAAGUAUCAGUUUAUCAAAUCUAUGGAAGAGUCUGCUAGAUGGUUGAUGAAUUGUAGUCACCACAGUUUUCCCCAACUGCAUAGGUUCAAGAGAGACUUGUAGUCACCACAAUUUAUCAUAUACAUGAAUAUAUACACACACACACACACACUCUCUCUCUCUCUCUUAACUAAAAUUUUAUCUGAGCUACAUGAUUUGAGUAAUACAGUAAAGGUUACCAGUAUAAAAUCAACAUCAUGAUGAUUGAUACCUUAGCUAUACCAUGCAAAACUUGUAUUAUUCUUAGGGCUGUUGUUGAAUCAAGGCCAGAUGUGGGCUCAUCAAGAAACAGUAAAGAUGGGUUGAUUAUGAUCUCAUUUCCAAUGCACACCCUUUUCCUCUCACCACCUGAAACUCCUCUUACAAAAGGUCCUCCAAUGAUAGUAUUUUGGCACCUGCAGAAUGUUAUCAAAUUUGAGAACAAGAUCGAUUAGAUCUUCGAAAAUUCAGGCAAGUUUCCUUAUAAGAUUGGAAGUUGAAGAGCAAGUCCACUAUAGAGAUCUUUGCUCAUAUUAGGCAACUUUGAGUUAGAAUGAAGAACUCAAAUAACCAAAAAGCUACCUUUCAAGCCCCAGCUCGUAGAUGGCAUCCAUGGCCCUGUCUUCCUUCUGUUCUCUAGUCAUUGUCCUUGGGAGUCGAAGGAGAGCUGCAUAUGUUAAUGUUUCUCUCACAGUGAGAUGUGCAAAUAGAACAUCAUCCUGUGCCACGAAUCCCAUCCUGAAAAUUGACAUCAGACUUAUAGCAAUUUACCAAACUGUAAGUGCACAUGAUUCUAUUACAAGAGUGAUGACAUCUUGUUCUACACUAAGAAAUGAGAGUAGUUGAUAAUCUAUUACAAGAGUGAUGACAUCUUGUUCUACACUAAGAAAUGAACACAUGAAUUUGCUGCUGCCAUGCACAGUUCUAUCUUCACUAUCAAGUCAGCUUGUGCCAAAGCUUAACUUCUAGUUGGCUGGACUCUGGAAACAGAUUCCUAUACAUUUAGCCUCUGAUACUGCUGACGCAGGUCCUUUCCUAUGUAUGUGUUGUUAUAUAUCUAUGAGAUUGGAAUUGCUAAACAGAAUACAAUUUGAACUUGAUCAUUUACCUGCCCUUUAGAGAUUUGGUAUAUGGUUCAUCAUUAUAUGUGACAGAUCCUUGAAUGAUAUUAGCCGUAAUUCUUCCACCGAGAAGGCUAAGAAGUGUGGUUUUGCCACUGCCAGAAGGCCCCAUCAGGGCUAAAAGUUCUCCAGGUCUCACUGAACCUGUAAUUCCAUGGAGAAUUUCCUUCUCUGUAGUAGUUGUUAUUCCUUUGAGUACUACACUGUAUCUAACCUCUGUAAACUGCAAAUUUGACAAAAGGAGAUGUCAAUCAGGAUGCUCUAUGAUGUGGUUGCUAUAGAUCAGCCCUCUGUAUAUUAGUUUAGAAUUCAGAUUUACGACUCAGUGCCUCUGAGAAAGAUAUUUGAAGAAUAGCCUUGUGUUUAUGUUCCUUUACAAAGAUUCAGCAAGUAUUAGAGGGCAACUCCAGCACAAUGAUACCUUCAAAUAUAUCGGCAAAGUUGGCUCUGACAUCAGACUUUUCCUUGUUUCUUGAAUCUCCAGAUCAAUUUCUGCAGGGUAGUAAAUGAACAACAUGCAGAGUUAGACACAUCAGGCCACUUUGUACUUGUUACAAUAUUUUCAUAACAAAUGAUCUGUCCCCGGAUUGGCAUCUACUUAUGACUGCAAUGUUUUUGCGUUCGAUUAUAUCAUUUAACGGGAAUUUGCUUCAACUACAAUCAUAGUUUUACAUGCUUUAAAUAUAUGUCUUGGUUUCUACAAGAUUCAGAAACUAUGCACACACCACUGUAUAUUAUCUUUGAAUGAUCAUGUUGUUCUGAUUAUACAGCGUUACCAUUCUCAUUGUUGCCGAAAGCCGCGGUAUCAGAAACUUCAGGGAGCGCGGUGAAGCCGGUAAAGGAGUAGGAGAAGCUCAAGCUUGCACUGGAGGCGCGGCUCAGACUUGCCUCACUGCCAACAUCUUCAGAAUCCAUCUUCAUGUGUCCACUCCAUGUCUUUCUGAGGUGGUGCCCUCCUUUGAAAGACCCCAUCAACUUCUUUCCAAAGCUCAACUUUCUUGACAAGCUCGGACUGCCAUUAACAGCACUGGUUGGCACAACUUCAGUAGAGCUCAUAGUAGGUCCUCUUGUUGCUCCCAUCUCCAGCUUGUCCGACUUGGCCAUGGCAAUUCCAGGUUCUGCUGAAUCCAUCUUCGGACUCCUGAAUUAUGCCGUGUUGAGAAAUCGAAAUGACUGCAUGGAAACAUAUAGGCAAUAAGGAGGUGGAUAGAGCUAUCACAAGCAUUUACAGAAUAGACACAGGAAACAAAAAAGAAAGAAAAUUGUCACGAUAUGGAUUGGUUAUCAGAACCAAAACCAAGUGACGAAGAUGUUGAUUUCCAUUUCUGACCAGAGUUGCUUGAAGACUCGAGUACUUCAUCUCCUUGUAAAUCUAUGUUUUCCUUGGAAUUGACUUGAAACCUAGAAAAGAGACGAAAGAAGGUUUCUUCUUCCUUUUUCUCUUGAGAGAAGACUCUUUAUGAAGCAUGUAUUACAGUAAUUCCAUUUCAUGUAUAAGCUGAAUACCGAGAGCAUGGCGACCGAAAAAUCUUACCCAAACAAGCAUCAUCUCAAAGGUGUGAGAAUGCAUGCAGCAAAGAACAGUUCACAUGCUUCAUGGAAAGCUACAAAACGAUGCGAGGAAGACAAAGAAAGAACACAUGAGAAGUGAAAUCAGUCGAGCUAAAAGACACCCUUCUCAGUGAAAGGAGAGAAGGUGGGGUAGGAUACGGGCAGGAGGAGUUAGAAGCAGAUAUCGAGAGCUAGCAAAAUGACAAGGAGUGUGUGGGGUGAGGAAGAGCAGUGGACGGCCAGCUUAUUUCCACCCAACUCUCUGUCUCAUCCCUUUCGACGGACGACACCUCUCAUCCAAACCUUCACAAUGCUGCACGAUGCGGGGGACGUCGGAUAUCAACUUAAUGAAAUGAAAUGCCGCCACUGAUACUGCCACACUUCUUGUGGAAAGAAGUGAAUUUUCAUUCAAGAAUUUUGCUAGCAUCAUUACCAUCAAAAUGAGCUAUCCAUUUUGUUCCACUUUCGUUUCCUUCGUCAUGGAAAUCAUAUUAGUCCAUUUUUUCUGCUCGUGGCUUUUGGAAAUGUUUUAGCUCAACAAAAAAUAGAUGCUGAAAGAGAGUAAAAGAAUCUCUCCGUCGUUAAAGCAUGUGAUUCAUGUUUCUUUCGAAAGACACUACUUUGUUCGCUAGUGGAGAUACAUUAUAUUUGAUAAGGUCAUGUAGUCUCACAUUGAUUGAGGAGUAUGUGAACCAAAGACUCAUAAGUUUGUCAGGUCUCUCUUAUCUUUAAAAAGUAUGAGUACGCUCAUCGUACAAAACAGAUAAUUUCUCGUCCUCGUAACUAAAAGGUCCCUUAUCAAUAUUAUAUUAUGUUAAUAAAUGAAUAUGGCCAAAGAGGAAAAAAACAAAAGUAAAAAAAUGCAGAAUAAAAGGAAAAAAAAAUUGAGAUUUUGGAGCUGAAGAUUGCAUGUCGUCGUCAGCCUUUACUUUCUCUUCAUCCAUAAAUCCCGACACCAUCAGACCUCAACCUUGUUUUCCUUGUUCCGGUUCUUGUUCUUCCCGAGCGCACGAACGAAUAUGGUGGGAGGCGAAUCUGCAAGAGCAGUCAAGACAAACACAAACAUGAACAAAGGAAUCCAUUAUGCAUGCAAAAAAACAAGAAGCUCGGAUCAAUAUCAUCAGUACACAGCAAAACACUCGAUAAACACCAACAAAGGAUUCGUUUUUCUGAGUCACCCUAUCAACCAGUCUGGUGGUAUGCAUCCGAAUUCGUUUUACCUCAUAUCGAGAGUUUGAACUCUUUGCCAUAACAUAUUAUUCAUUAGUCUCACACACUUCAAUUUAUGAAUGAAUUAGGACAAGUAUAUUAACAGAAUUAUAAAUAAUAUAUAUAUAUAUAUAUAUAUAUAUAUGUUAUUCUCACUUAGUGACAUAAUUAAUGAUAUUUAUGCUUCAUAAAUAUAAUAAAUAAUAUGUUCAUUUUUUAUUUUUAAAAUUGAGAAACGUGUUUUUCAAGAAUAUCAUCCUCAAUAUUCUAUGGAAUAUUGAUUGAAAAUAUAUAAGCAUUAAUGUUUAUGUUAAGUAUAAUACUAAUAAAUAUAUAUAUAUAUAGUGACUAAAACUGAUGAUUAAAUUUUAAAUGACCUUAAGUGAAUCUCGAUACUUGAAUAAGUUUAAUCAUGAUAAACAUAAAGAAGUAUGAGUUUUAAAUAUUAUGUAUACGAGGAUAACAAGCUACUUAAGCAUAGAUAAAGUAAUAAAAAAUUAAAUGAAGAUACAAAUAAAAAAAAUACUAAAUGUUGAGAUACAUCAGUGAGAUAGAAAGAUAAGUUUAGACCAAAAGUAUCAUCUUUAUUAAGUUAAAUUAAACUUGAUUGAAGAUACUAUAACAUUAGAAUUAUAUUAGUAAAAGAAAAAAAAUUCGAAAUGAGACCCAAUGGGAUUAAAUCCAACAUAAUAUAUAAUUUGAAUUUAUCUUUGAUUUUCGGAUAUAUUUUGUAUGAAUCUCUUAUCAUUCUAAAACUUCUAAUAUGACUUUAUUCGAGAUUAGUGCUUAGACUUAUUAUUGAGGUACUCAAAAUUUCUUAUUUUCUAAGAAGGAGUUAUAUUCAAACUAAAUUGACCAUGAUUAGACAUUGUCUCUUUUACAUAUUUUAAAAAUUCUCUUAGGGUUUUAUAAAAUUUAGAAUUGAGUGAAUACCAAGGUUUAUAAAUUCAGAGAAUCCUAACCCAAUUUUAAUAAAAUAGAUCUUGGUAGUGAAUUAGGAGGAUAGUUUAGCCUUCAAAUAAUUAUGUUUUGAGUUAAAGUUUGGUGUGUAUUUAGUUCUAUAUAUCUUUUAGUUUUCUAUAAAAUUUUAUGAUAAUUUAAGAUCGAUUGCUCAGCUAGAAUAGCAAAAUAAAACUUUUUUACAUGAUAGUACAAUUGUUUGAUUUAUAGCAACUAGUUCAUUUGAUUAUAAAAUGAAUUGUUAAAAAAUUGAUAAUGGAAUCUAGAUAAUUUUUUUUGGCUAAAUAUAGUUUAUUUUAUGAAAAAUUUUAUCAAACUUUUUUUAAAAAAUAUUAUAAAUCAAUAAUUGAAGAGGUAGGGUUCUUAAUUAACGUGUCUCGUAAUCUUAUACUCAUGAUAUUAUAAGUUUCUUACUCUUUAACACAUUUGAUCAUUAAGGAACGUGAUCUUUUAUUAGCAUCAUAAGUAUAAAUUUAAUUCACUACAAAAUAGUGAUAGUAUAAAUUAUCUAUGCAUAAUGUAUUUUAAAAAGUAUGUUUCAAAUGAUCGAUGUAUGAGUUAAAUAUGAAUAUACAUACUUGAUAAGCAUAAAAAAUAUAUGAAUUAUAUAUAUAUAUAUAUAUAAUCAAAUAAUAUGAAUUAUAUAUAUAUAUAUAUAUAUAUAUAUAUAUAUAUAUAUAUAUAUAUAUAUAUAUAUAUAUAUAUAUAUUCGAGUCAAUCAAAUAAUCAAAGUCUUAAUUAGCUUGACUAGCUAACUUGUUGGAAAAAAAAUUAUAGGAUGUCAUUUCAAACCUUCAAUCUUAGUGACUGAUAUAUUACUAUAAAAUAAAUAUUUUAAUAUAUAAAUAUGAUACUAAAAUAGUAACACAUCAUAUUAAUUAGGUAAAAUUAUAUAACUAAAAAUAAAUAUGAAACCGAAUCCAAUUUAGGAGGAUUUGAGUAGAUAGAUAAAGGCAAAUUUUAUGCUAACCUAACCUACCCCUUUUCGUUUAUUUCGUAGAUAGAUAAUUGGAUUGUCUUUUAGAUGAUAAGAAUCAUGUCAUGCAAAGAUCAACAAGAUAUUGCUUCUCGUACACUACACUAUGUAAUAGUUGAGGCAAUAGUCAUUACAAGUGUAGUGGGACGACCACCGAAAGGACGACGACAAUGACAACAAUCGAUGCAAAAUUAUCACUAAAAUAAGUUAAUCGUAUAUUAAAUUUACAUAUGGAACGAUCACUACCAUUCAUAUAGUUUUCUUUCCAACCGUCGAUUUGAGUGGGUCCCAACCAAGCACACCGAUAAUUCUCCUAAAUUUUGUUAGUAAAACUAAAACCUAUAUAUUUUAAAUUCCUUCGUAUAUUAUGAUCAUUCUAUUAAUAUCUAUCCACAAACUACAAAAAAAAAAAAAAAAAAACGAUUGUAUUUUUGAAGAUGAUAAUAAAAUAGACUCAUUUACAUAAUGAUAUAUUUUUUAAAAAUAUUAAUUAAUUUAGAUAUUUUCUCGUAAGAUUUUGGACUCGAAUUUCCUAAUCUUCACCUAUCCUUUGGAAUAUAUAUAUAUAUAUAUAUAUAUAUAUAUAUAUAUAUAUAUAUAUAUAUAUAUAUAUAUAUAUUGUUUUUUAUUCCACUCACAUAUCUUAAGAAUUUGAACCCACACAUGACAUCCAUCCGAAAACUUGGAUUAAAUGAGACCUAACAUGAUUUAGCUUUUAGUUUGAAUCAAAAUAAAAUAUUUGUAAUAUUCUUAUCAUUGUAAUAUCAUCUAUAAAAUACUAACUAACGAAGAUUAAAUACACACACACAUAUAUAUAUAUAUAUACGAUUUUUUUUUGCCAUAAUUUAUUGUGCAUACAAAGGAUUACUCAUUUAUUAGAAGCCAUAAGUUACUCUUAGCGAAGCUAAGCUUUUGGUUGAUAUAAUAGAAUGUGAUCCACGAGAAAGAAGACAUUUAAAGCACAUUAAUGUAUUCACAACUAAGAUAUCAUCAUCACAUGAGCACACCAUUUCUAUGCCACCGAGAGCAUUAUUCUUUCGAGACAACGACCUUCACCUUAAUGGAGAAAGCAACCUCACAAACAUGGGAGCAAUGCGCACGAUGGAAAACUUGUCCCCGAGGACGAGCACUCAUCAAUGAUUUAGGCGACGGAGUGUGACAUGUCAAGGGGCCAAAUGUCAUCGAAUUCUCGACUCCAAUUCUCCAAAUUAUGGCUUGAAAUGAUGUUUCAUGGUUUCCAUUAAAUCAACCUUUUUCUUCUUAUAAUAAAUUGGCAGAAUUUUUCAUUCUUCGUUUGAACAUUUUAUGUACGUGCUUUUCCGCAUGUCAAGCUAUGAUUUGAACCCCAAAUUAUUAUUAGUCGUUUUUACCCAAUCAAUUGUUUCCAACAAAAUAAUAAUAAUCUUUAGCAACUUUCACGUAAGAGUAGUUCACAUAUCACUACAAUUUCUACAAGUUGAUAUGUACUAAUAAUGUCUAAAGAAGAAGAAGAAGAAGAAGAAGAAGAAGAAGAAGAAGAGGAAGGGUUGAUGGAGUAAGAAGGAAGAAAGAUGAGGAGACAGGUGGAAAAAGAUGAGAGAGAACACAUGGAAAAAUGAGAGAAGACAAAGGAGGAAGAGGACAAAGAGAAUAAGGAGGAAGGGUGCACGUCGACGACAUACUACGAGCUAUCGUACGGAACAGUAUACUUCGGUAUAUCAAAUAAGUACAUUUUAAUACUGAAUUCAAACUUAACUUUGACUGUAUAAACCGCUGUCAUGUGAGAUGGCAAAACACCAAUAUGCCAAAAAGUUCUCACGAGAAGAGAUGAUGUCUUCAUGUGGAGCUCUUGAGGUUCUAAGAACAAGAACAGCUUCACAACGAGCAGAAAUGCAAGACAGGAAAACACGAGCGAGAUCGAUAGGGGUCCGUGCAAAUCACAAAACCAAAUUUUGAGCAGUUGAAUGAGCGACCCAUCACUGUGAUGAAUCUGAAUUAAUCAAACAAUCCAUCAGUUCUAACAGGUGGUAAUUACUUCAUCAAGAUACAUCUGAACACAGCUUAACUCAUGUUCUAGCUUUUCGGACACAAUCCCUGAGCAAACUCCUUCGUCGGAGAUCACCAUUGCACUUCUGUUGUUCUCCAGGAACUGAUUCAAGUUGUGUGUGGCCAAAUCUCUCUUGGAUUUUAUCUCCUCCAGUUUUGUCGAUUCCUGUUGCAUUGUUUCCUGGCACAGCUGAAUCUCACCUUCUUUUAAGUCCAGCACAAAUAUACACUCCUGGAACUCAAGUAACAGGUUUGCCAGCUCAGCCUUUCCGGCCUCUCUCAUCUCUGAAAGCAUGUUCUUCUCUUCCAUCACCUGUUGCAACCCAACUUCUGCUUCCUGCAGUGAGAGCAGUCCAGUAUUUAUCCCAUUUUCGUAGCUCUUCAUCUUAGUAUCGAUUGCAUCAAUUUUCUUCAUGAAGCUUGCGAUUUCUUUUUGUACAACAGCCAACUGUUCCUGUAACUUUUUCAUCUCCACCGACAGCUUGCUUCGCUCCUCCUCACACUUUAGCAGUUCAGAUGCUUUACCAAAACUCAAGUUCUUUUGCACCGGGACGACGUCGACCGUAUCCAUAUUAUCAAUCGCAAACAGCACUCGUUCGGUCUUCUUCCUUUGAGUUUCUGAAUCAUGGAGCUUAGACUUUAAACAAUCUAUGUUGCAUCUCAACUGAGAUUCGGAAUGUUGAGCCUUCGACAGUGCAGUGCUAGUUUCAUCCUUGCGAGUUUGAAGACAUCUUAGUUCUUCUUUCUUUUGCUCCAAAUGUUCAAAGCACACGUUCAGCCUUGUUCUAGCCCGGGUUUCUCUCUGUUCCCAAUAGUGUGCCUCAGAAGAAAAACUCCCAAGUGCAAGUUUCAGAGCCAGAAACUUCUUGUCCAAGACUGUCUUUCUUUCCUGUGUCUGGGACAGAACACGCUUGAGUUCCUCGAUCUCUUGUUCUUUUAACUGAAUGCCAGGCUCUACUUCUUCAACAUUUUCUGUAAGCUCUUUCACAUCGGUUAUGUUCUUCUCGAGUAUCCCAAAGUAUCUGAGAUCUGUCCGUACAGCAGCAAGCUUAUCUCGUACGAGCUCCAAAUUAUUUCUGACCAAAUGCUGCACUUUCUCUGGCACUUCCGCUAGAUGUUCCGUCAACUCCUCCGUCUCUUGCUUCUGGCAGCCUGUUUCUUCGUCCAUUUCAACUAGCUUUUCCGGACAUACAAUCUCUUCUUUGGUUAAGGAUAUGCUGGAUUCCAUAGAAGCCAACAUUCUUUUGAAAUCAUCCCUCUCUUUCAUGGCUUUUUCGUAUAAGCCCAUCAGUUUCUCAUUUUCUUCAUGCAUCUCAUAAAGUUGGUGCUCAAGACUUUCGAUAUCCUUCUUUCCUGAAUGGUGGAAUUCUUGGUUGAAUUCUUCAUGUCUAUUUUCAUUAAAUUCAGCCGACAUGUCAACUUGCACCAGAGACUUCUCAAAUUUGUUGAGGCUCCCUGCAUCAUUAUUACCACCUUCCGCAAUUGCAUUCUCAUAGAGUUCAAUCAGCUUAUUGUUGUCCUCAAUAAGAACACUAAACUUCAUACGCAAUUCCUCAUUCUCCUUGGCCAAUGCAAUGGCUGUUUCAUGUGCUUCAACUUCUCUCUGACUAGCAACUGCAAUUGCAUCCACCAUCGUUUUAAGUUCUAUCUGAUCAUCAGAAAGCUUGCCUGUUCCUGAAGUGAUGUCACAAUUAGCUUGUGGAAGUUCGACCCCUACGUAUGGAGCAUGAGUAGACUUCCUUUGUUCUUCUAACUGUGAGCCUAACUCAUCCACACGCCUGCAGAAUAAUCAGAUUAGCCACCAGAAAAGAAAUUCAUGGUAUUGACAAAAUUAUAACCAUUUUAAUGAAAAAGCAACAGUGAAAUGUUUCAAUAAUGUUCAUGAGAUUGCUGAAUUUUAUAUUGUAACGAUUAAGGGAUAAUAAUAAAAACAAUAAUAAUAAUAUAGUAAUAAGAAUAAUAAGCAUUCACAUUCUCAAGAUUUCAAACAAAGUUUAGCAUGGACUUCUCAGCCUGCAAAUACAAUCAACAAAAAUGUUUUCAGUACUAAACAUGAUAGCUUCCAAGAAUAUAUCAGAGUUAUUCAUAUCAGACAAGUCAGGGGAUGUCAUGCAGCACCAAUGGAACAAACCAUGUGAUGUGCCAGAUUUUGGGUACAGAAUUUAACUGGAAGUACCUUUCCAGCUUUUCUUUGGCUUCAAGACAUGACGAUAGGUUUUUACGAAGUGCUUCUAUCUCCCUCUGAUUUUGAAUAGCCUGCACAAGAUGGCCAUGUCAUGAAAAGAUAUGUUUACCAUAUCAAAAUAAUUAAUAGGUAAAUUUUUGGAACAAAAGAAUUAAAAAUAAAAAUAUUGCUGCUGUCCUCACCUGCAAAUGGAGGAACUCAUUUUCUUCAUUUCCAAAAGAGUCCCAAGAUGAUGACAGGUUCUGCUGUGAAGAAAGAUGGAAAUUUUAAAAUAAGUAGAAAUAACCAAGAUUUUCCAACUUGCACACUGAACUUGCUGAACAUAAGUCCAGCAAUUCCCAAAUCAGAAAGCAGUGAAACAAGACCGAGUUUUCUACCAAUAUGUCUAGGGACAUCUUAUGCAAGGAUAAGCCACUAUAUGCUGAUCAAGAAUUUUAAAAAUUUAGCUUUCGAACCUGAACAACAUCUGAAUCUUUUUCAUGCAUAAGUUUCCAAUCCAGAGCCUCCAAUAACUACAGGCCAUACAUGUAUGUUAAAUAAGCACAAAAAAUAAAAGGAACAAUGAUGAGCUUAACUUGAGAGAAAACAUGGAUACCUUAUCCUGCAAAACAGUUAUCUGUUCAUUCAUCAUUUCUCUUUCACCUUCUUCAACAAACAACUGCAAUCUGGGUGUCAAAUAUAUAAAAAUAAUUAUUAUUGAUAUGCAUAAGAGUUUAUUUUGAU